ensembl:lncRNA
AUUCCUCUUCUUUUCCUUCUUUGCAUUUGCAGAUAAGCAUUUUAGGAUCCACCCCCACAGAGAAGCUUGGACUAAUUGCCUUCUCUGGGAACUCUUCCUCCCGCAAACUGGGAGGGAGUACAGAGCACUCCUGUCAGAGAGCUGCUACUGUCCCAGGAGGAGCAUUGCACGUAUCCCACACCCUGGCUGUGCCUGUGUUUCGUGGCAGAAGAGCAUCCCAAAACCUCCCUGGCUGAAAGACUACAGAUGGUCCUCUCUUUAUUUGUGUGUUAAAAGUUGUAUAAAGCUCCCCUAAGUAUUUUCUGCCUUUUAAUUCUCAAGAACAUUGAGAUGGAGAAAAUCUGCUCUGUGGAUCAAAAGAAUGGAGCCCAAUUAGCACAGCUCUCAGCGUUGAUCCGAACUAAGUAUCAUACAUCUCAUAAAUGGACCAUCUUGAUCUACUGUCACCUGGUCUCUGUUCAUUUGUUUGAUUUGUUUCUCUUGUUUUUCCUAGCAGUCACCUUGAAUUCCACUCUCUUAGCUGUAACUGUUUCAUUUCUUACACUGCCCUUUGUCUUAUGUGUGACUAACAAGGCCUUUUGUAUCUAUUCCUUUUUCUCACUCCUGUUUCACAUUCAGGCAGCUGUUGCUGGCUGAGGGCUCUGGAGAAGCCGUGACAUUGUAACUGCAAGCAAGCAGGAAGGGUCAGGGAGCAGAGGGGAAGUGCCCUAGCAGCAGCUCCAGUCCCUGUCCUGUACCAAGCCUUUGGCUCCUCAGAAGUGACUCACAACUCUCCUGUGCUGUAUCAAAGUGUUCUACAGGGAACUGAAUGCUGUGCCUAGGGACUUGUUACCUCUUGCGGCCUCCAGCCUGUCUUCUGCUCAGUCCUGCAGCACAGCCAUUAUGCUGAAUUUAUGACACAACAGUAAUUACUGUGCCAAACUCAACCAGAUGCUGUUUAAAAAAAAAAAAAAGAAGAAGAAGAAGAAGGAAAAAGUACUCAAGCCUGAGAAACAAAACCACUGGGUUGUGCCUAACAAUGCAGAAUGAGAUGGCAGAGGAAGGAAAGCUUUAUUCAGGCUGUAGCAUUGGCUGAGCUGCCAUGGGCAUUCAGGUCCAUGGCACUGUAAACAGCACGUUGAUCAACAUCUCCUCCAAGUCUGCCACCUUGUGAGUGCCCUUCUUUAGCACAUCGAGCUGUGCAGCAUGAAGCACACCACAAGCCUGGCGCCCCCUCAGAGAGAACAAAGCUGGUCUCCUGCUGAUACUUAAUGCCAGAACUUUUAUUAGCAGCAAGUGACAGCAGUUUAGCCUCCCUUCCUUUUUUUAGAUGAUUACAUUCUUAAGCCGAUUGACUGUGUUGACUAAAGGCAGCUGUUGAUCCAUACUCUUUCCUCUUGCACACACAAUGGCACAUAAAGAAAAGAAACGCCAGAUUUUGUGUGCUUGGGAUAAGCUUCAGAUUUGGAUUGCCUGAGCAGAGGUGAAAAAUUGGCUGCUUUCUCUCAGGAGGCGCAAGCCUGGGCAGAGCAGGGGGCUGUGAGCUGGGCUUCCUGGAGGCCCUUUCCUUGCCCACACCUCCAGGAAUGGGGACAAGGAGAGCAGCUACCGGAUGGAUCUGGAAGUCACCACCUUAAUGCAGGGAAAACGCUGUCAAGAAGAGGGAUGAUUAGUGAAUGAAACACAAGUACAACCUGCAGCCUUUAUGUAGAGCUAAAUGUGGAUGCGUAAAUGAAGCUUUCUUUUUUUCGCUAGUGACUGUUAAUACGAAGAUCUAUACUCACGUCCUAGGUCCCAGCAGGUGCUUUGCUCAGAGGACAUCUGGGACAUCCAAAGUGGCAGCCUAUUUCUGGGCUCAGACAAAGAGAUGUGACACAGGGAUGUGACACAGGAAUGCACUGCCAACAUGUGGGCAUGUGGAUGAUUCACCUCAAACUCGCUUGCCCUGAACAUGCAGCAAUCCUCUGAGCUUGUGAACACUACAACUCCAGGUCAUGGCACUGGGAGUGCCCCCGUAGCCACAAAAGAGCUGAAAAGCUGCUCUGCAGUUAAAAAAAAGGAAUCACCUAGGAGUCAGGCUGAGGGCCACAAAGAUGAUAAAAGGCCUGGAGCAUCUCCUGUAUGAGGAAAGACUGAGAAACCUGGGUCUGUGCAGCCUGGGAAAAAGAAGACUGAGGGGGGAUCUGAUUAACAUUUAUAAAUAUCUACAGGGAGGUGGGAGGC